rnacentral:rRNA from 1 species
CUGCUGCCUUCCGUAGGAGUCUGGUCCGUGUCUCAGUACCAGUGUGGGGGACCUUCCUCUCAGAACCCCUACGCAUCGUCGGUUAGGUGGGCCGUUACCCCGCCUACUGCCUAAUGCGCCGCAUGCCCAUCCCUGUCCGGCCGAAGCCUUCCCUGCCUCCGGGAUGCCCCGGUGGCAUGUACGCGGGUUUAGCCCGCCUUUCGGCGGGUUGUCCCCCUGACAGGGGCAGGUUGCAUACGUGUUACUCACCCGUGCGCCGGUCGCCGGCGGAGAAA